UGAGAAUGCUGAGUGUUACAUGAACAUUUAUCAGAGAGCUUAUUUUCCUGACUGCCAUCAUGUGAUGUGACAGGACUCAGGGUACAACCCGCUGCCAUUGAGAAGCAAGAAGCACAGAGCAAUGACCAGCUGAGGACACAGACCACUUGUUUCCUGGAGCAUGCAUGCUUCGUGCCUGCUGGCCAUGUGAGAGGACAGCUGGGACAGGGUGGAGACAUUUGAUGCAAAAAAUGUGUGAGGCAAAGUCACCAUAAGAGGAAAACACAUAAAGUUCCAAUCUAGGUUUGAAGUCACUCCCACAGAAGGAUCCCAGUAGAAACUGGUCAAGAGAAUCCAUAGGAAUCAACUUCCCAGGAAACUAAAAAGAGAGAAGGUGGAGGGAGAAGGUACGGCUAUAGCUAGAGGCUGUAGUCGUCCAUAACCCAUAACCCAUCAAAUCUCUGCCUCCAAGGAAGUAUGUGGAGCAUGAGAAUGUCAUUCAGAUGUGUAGCCCAGUACAAAGAAGAUUAAAGACCUCCAUCCUAUGGAGCUACUUCACCAGGUAAAGAUUGAGUGAUACACUUGUGCACUUCCCAGUUUCUAGGCACACACAGAAUUGCAGCAGAGGGAUUUGAGGGCAAUUUUACCCCACCCUUUGAGUGGUCUUUAUAUAUUAUAUUUCCUCUCUUACAGGUAGCAAUCCCUGAGCCUGCUGCAAAAAGUAGAGAAAUGGGGGAAGCAAGAGAAAGGAGAUUUUGAGAGAAAUACGCAAACAGCAGAGUACAACUUCAAGCUAGGAGGCUUAGCCAGGGCUGGCUGCAAAGGGGGGCAAAGAAAGUGUAUAAAGGUAGAAUCAGAGGGAAAUCUUUCCCAUGUGUUACUGAAGACCUAUCUAGACACAAAAUUAUUGUCUUCAGUCCUCUCCCUUCCAGCAGGAGGAUAAGAAAGGAGUGUAAGUUAGAAAGAGAGGGGGAGAGGACAAGAGAGACACGAGUAUGUAUUGGAUGCCUACCGUAGACCAAGAAACUUGUUAGAUACAGAAAAUACGUCUCAUUGCAUCUUCACAUUCUAAAGCAUUACGUGUUAUUCUCAUUUCACAGAUAAGGAAACUGAGGACCAAUGUGUCUGAAUACUUUGCCCAUUGCCUCAGGGCUCAUCCCUGAUGGAACUACGAUGAAAUCUAGAAAUCUCUGAUCCAGGGCAGCUGUUUCCAAGAAGAAAAGUGGAAAGGAAGAAGGUCAAAGUCUUCAUUUAAGGUUGUUUCUUGGAAACAGAAAAUUUACAUACUUUUGUAUGUAAACAUUUCUUGAGAGUAAAAAACAGAAUAGAUGAAAAAAUGUGAUGUGGAUACUGCUUUUGAUUAGCAUCUCGAAUCUCUGUAUAAGUAGCCAACAGAAAAGAAAAAUGAAGAAAACUAGAUAGAUUAGUUUACUGGGGAGUAGGAAUCUGAAAAACCAUAUGGGGCUUCACAGAAUUUCAAGACUAAACAGUUUUAAAGUAGCAUAACCAGGUAAGUGAUGCAUUUUUUAUUUUCACAUUUCACUUUUAUCCAUCUUAAAAUCAAGGCUACAGAGUCCUGAUCCCAGCUGAAAACAGGGUCUGAGCUUUCAGCCGGAAUGACCGUGAUGUUACAUCUUCUACACAGCACUGGCACACAUAGAGUGUCUGUCCAUUUCAAACUACAGGGCCCACAGUAUUUUGCCACAGCAUUAUUCCCAAAGGACAGAAGAUGGCUUAGAGGAUCACUAAAGGUUCAGUCUGCAAAGUAUGAACAACCGUAAAUAGAAAAGAAAAACAAUCCCAUCUGUUAUACUUGUUUUAGGGUGGGCCAUCUGAUUGGAGACGAAUAGCUGUGUAGGUACAGUCCAAGUUUACUGGGUAUAAUGAAAUCACCCUAAAUAAAGCCAUUUCUUCUGCUGUGACAGUUGUCAUAAAUACCUGAUUAGAACGUAAGAGAAGUCUUUUUCAAAGUUGGCUUCCUUCAAUGGGGUUGUU